GACGAACGCUGGCGGCGUGCCUAAUACAUGCAAGUAGAACGCACAGUAUAUACCGUAGCUUGCUACACCAUAGACUGUGAGUUGCGAACGGGUGGGUAACGCGUAGGUAACCUGCCUGGUAGCGGGGGAUAACUAUUGGAAACGAUAGCUAAUACCGCAUAAUAUUAAUUAUUGCAUGAUAAUUGAUUGAAAGAUGCAACUGCAUCACUACCAGAUGGACCUGCGUUGUAUUAGCUAGUAGGUGAGGUAACGGCUCACCUAGGCGACGAUACAUAGCCGACCUGAGAGGGUGAUCGGCCACACUGGGACUGAGACACGGCCCAGACUCCUACGGGAGGCAGCAGUAGGGAAUCUUCGGCAAUGGACGAAAGUCUGACCGAGCAACGCCGCGUGAGUGGAGAAGGUUUUCGGAUCGUAAAGCUCUGUUGUAAGAGAAGAACGGGUGUGAGAAGUGGAAAGUUUCACACUGUGACGGUAUCUACCAAA
rnacentral:rRNA from 1 species